rnacentral:lncRNA from 1 species
UAUCACUGUUUUAUUCCUUCUCACUAGGAAACUGGUAAAACCUUCAGCCUAACAUAGCUUAAGCAAAGGUCUAUCUGUAUUCUUUUUUCUUUCAUUAUCCUAUUACUCCAUUUGUGACUUUAUCUGGUCUCCAUUCCAUGCUGGUCUGUGUUAGAAAGACUUACAUAUCAAACAGCUGAACGUCUCUCAGUCUGUCUGUGAUGCUCCAAAUCCAGACAGCAGUCUUCAAUAAAUUUCUAUUACCCAAAUAGUCUGUUUUUAAUUUGUUGCUGUACAGAUCCAUGCAAAGCUAGAACUUCAGUAAGUUGCUGACCUCUUAACAUUUUCUUUGUAAACUCUUGUUGUAAGUCACUGAUAAUUGAGAAUGGCCUCUGUCUUUCUCCUAGUACUGCUCUCUGCUCCAAAUUCUCAUUUUUUUUUUAAUAUGCUGCUCAGCAGUUGUGAGAGAGGUAAUAUAGACCAGAAUUUUCUAAUUAUAUGUUUUGAAUGACUUAACGCUGUGAAGCAUAUUGAUUCUUUCAGGCCUGGGGCACGCAAGUUGGGAGCCCCUGGCCUGGUUGCAGUCCAGCUGCUAGCAGCAUUUACCAGAGCUUCCUGGAAGGUGGCCAAGAGGAGCAGCAUCUCUACAGGUAGAGUGGAUGAUAAAAAAACAUCUAAUAAUUCCACAGGCCUCUUAUCCAAGGUGAAGAGUGGUAUGUUCAGUAGCUGGUUCCUGAAGUAGAUGUCCAGAUAAUGGAACACCUACCUCCUUGGCUGUGCUCAGCACAUUGCAGCCAACAUGGAGCUCCUGGAUGGUGCAGCUCUGGUGGCUCUGAAACUCUGAUUUCGUAGACAUCGGAUAUUUUUCGUUAGCAGCUGAAGUGCCCUUUUUGUGGCAUCCAAAGUAGUUUUGGUCUGACUGAUCCAACAAUGCAUGCAUGUUUUAUAAAUUAAAGCUUCAUCAUUAUUUUAAAGUACUUUCUAGAAAAAAGUACUGCUAUUCAUUAUUGGCAUUUUGGUACUAUCUGGAUUUUUUUUUUAAGCUGUGUAUUCUUACUGAAAUUUAAAAAAAAAAUUGAAGUGCAAUUUAAAAUGGCACCAGAAGCC